rnacentral:rRNA from 1 species
UGGCGAACGGGUGAGUAACACGUGAGUAACCUGCCCCAGACUCUGGGAUAAGCACUGGAAACGGUGUCUAAUACCGGAUACGAGCUUCAGCCGCAUGGCUAGGAGUUGGAAAGAAUUUCGGUCUGGGAUGGACUCGCGGCCUAUCAGCUAGUUGGUGAGGUAAUGGCUCACCAAGGCGACGACGGGUAGCCGGCCUGAGAGGGUGACCGGCCACACUGGGACUGAGACACGGCCCAGACUCCUACGGGAGGCAGCAGUGGGGAAUAUUGCACAAUGGGCGCAAGCCUGAUGCAGCAACGCCGCGUGAGGGACGACGGCCUUCGGGUUGUAAACCUCUUUUAGUAGGGAAGAAGCGAAAGUGACGGUACCUGCAGAAAAAGCACCGGCUAACUACGUGCCAGCAGCCGCGGUAAUACGUAGGGUGCAAGCGUUAUCCGGAAUUAUUGGGCGUAAAGAGCUCGUAGGCGGUUUGUCGCGUCUGCUGUGAAAACUGGAGGCUCAACCUCCAGCCUGCAGUGGGUAC